UUUUUUAACGAUGCUACACCACGAAAUGAUGAAUUUUGUGGGCUUAACGUGCUUUACUUGUUCUCAAUCUUCCUUCUAAUUACAAUUUGCUAUCAACAAAUCGUUCCUCGAAUACACUUUUGUUGAAUAAUCGGUCUCGUCGUCAUACUAAGCUAAUCAACGAUAACUUGCAGUUAAGCUUUGGAACUCUCCCAAAAACACAUCUGUCAUCCUGUUUAUUUCCAUCAUGUAACCAAAUAACAGGAAAACAUCACUUUCGAACACCCACAAAGUGAUCUUUCAAUAUCCACCGUGGGCUCGGUUAGGUCGACAAUGGAAUCCGGUGAAUGACGGAGCUCAACAUAUCUGGAACUGACCUCCCAAAAAAAAUUUGUGGGGAGUUGCUAGCUCAAAAUACGAUCCCAGGUCCCCAGAGCGAUAAGACGAUGCUUUAAAUCGCUUAGACCAGAGCUAUCCGGCUGAAAAGGAAAUACUCUUGUUCAUAUAAUUCGAGAAAGAUAUUUUCCCCAAAUAUGGUUUUCUUUCGAUAUUGUAAUCCAAGAAACAAAUACAGAAGAAUGUGGUAUUUUUACGAGUCGCUCUGACUGCCGAAAAUCUACGAUAAUACGGUAUAGUACAGAUUACAGUUUAAAAUUUCGUUACAAAUUACGUUCGAACAGGUGGCCAUUCUCAGCGAAGCAGUAAUAAAGCCUGUGCUUAAGUUAAAUAAGAUCACCGCCUCAUCGGAUCACGUGGAAUUUUUCGGGUUUUAUUCGUGUGUCUAACACACUUAAAUAGGGGUUAAAUAUCAUUAAACUUAUUUUUAAUUCUCUCUGAUCAAUUGCCGCUUUAGAAUUAAAAUAAAUGGACCGUUUUAGUUAUUCACAUCACCUAAAACACUAACCAGGCCUAAUAAAUUUGUUAAGUCCAUUACAGCAUAUCUGUCAUAAAGCUGGGAAAAUAAAUCAAUUCAGUGAAUAUGUCAUUACAGACUUAAUUGAAAAACAAUGAUAUUUUUCGUUUAAAAAUGAAACGAAAUGUAUAUAAUAAUUUGAAACAAAGAGUGCAUUUUAUAGUAAAGUGAAAUUAAAUACCGAUUUCGCAAGAAGUAAUUAAACUCGAUAAUUCAAUACUCUACAACGACAAAAUUAAUGAUUACAGAAGCGGAUGUAUUUUUUUAUUUUAUAAUUUCACGAAUAA